GCCUGGAUAGCUCAGUUGGUUUGAGUGUGGUGCUGAUAAUGUCAAGGUCGCGGGUUCGAUUCCUGUAUGAGAUA